AACGUUGGAGGCGAGCGUUAUCCGGAUUUACUGGGCGUAAAGCGUACGCAGGUGGCCAUGCAAGUCGGACAUGAAAGCUCCUGGCUUAACUAGGAGAGGUGGUUCGAAACUGCAUAGCUUGAGGUUGGGAGAGGGACGCGGAAUUCCCGGUGUAGUGGUGGAAUGCGUAGAUAUCGGGAGGAACACCAGUGGCGCAAGCGGCGUCCUGGCCCACACCUGACGCUGAGGUACGAAAGCGUGGGGAGCAAACAGG
rnacentral:rRNA from 1 species